rnacentral:tRNA from 1 species
GGAUCGCGUAGUGGAAGAGUCUUUGGUUGCCAACUAAGAGUUCUGGGUUCAAUUCCCAGUCGAAAAUUCCG